CAAGGGGUCCGACGGUCUUCUUAGAGGGACAGGCGGCGGCCAGCCGCACGAGAGUGAGCAAUAUCAGGUCUGUGAUGCCCUUAGAUGUUCUGGGCCGCACGCGCGCCACAAUGAAGGAAUCAAAGUGACCCCUAUCCGAAAGGACCGGGAAAUCAUUGAACCUCCUUCGUGUUAGGGAUUGGGGAUUGCAAUUAUUUCCCAUGAACGAGGAAUUCCUAGUAA
rnacentral:rRNA from 1 species